GGCAUCCGGUGGUAGCAGACGUGGCAACAAAAAAUCAAGGGAUGAUGAGGUAUAUUUUUCUUCUAUCUAGAAUUUCAUACAUGUGUUGUCUUAGCAAAUUUCAACAAUGUUAUGGAGAAUCAUGGAUAGGGUGGUCAAAUGGCUUGGAAUGAUGAGCAUACCGCACUUGUUUGCAAGUUGUUCGCUGAACAAGUUAGAAAAGGAAAUAGGCCAAACACUCAUUUGAAUAAUGUGGGCUAUACCGAGGUGAAUGAAAGGUUUUUUCAGUGUACCGAUAUUAUGUUGAAAAAAUCUCAACUUAAGAACAAAUGGGACAAGUUGAAGGCUGAUUUAGGUGCUUGGAGAAAAUUGAUGAGGAAACAAACCGGAACCGGUUGGAAUUGGGACAAGGGAACUAUCAACAUGGAUGCCGAGUGGUGGAAAAAAACAAAAAAUGACAUACCUGGCAUCGGGAAAUUUAAGAAUAGGCCUCUCCAAAAUGAAGAUGAGAUGAAUGUAAUGUUUGGGAGCAUCAUAAAUGAAGAGAUAGAUCAUUGGAAUCCUAUGUCUUCCAACCCGAUCAUACCCCCUAGUGGAGAUGCCCCCCUCAUAUUGGCUUGGACGACAAUGAUGAAGAAAAUGAUAUGAGUGCUGAUAUUGACUCCGACAAUGGUGAUGAGGUUUUGGAAGUCUCUCCUACACCUGGCAAUGCUAAGAGAAAGGCUCAUAUUAUUCUUGAAAAACCUAACAAGAAACCCAAGUCUACCACUGCACUUGUUAUACAAGAACAUAUUUCCAA